GAGUUUGAUCAUGGCUCAGGAUGAACGCUAGCGACAGGCCUAACACAUGCAAGUCGAGGGGCAGCACAAGGUAGCAAUACUGAGGUGGCGACCGGCGCACGGGUGAGUAACGCGUAUGCAACCUGCCUGUAACAGGGGAAUAGCCUCUUGAAAGAGAGAUUAAUGCCGCAUAAUACGAGAUUCGGGCAUCCGGAUUUAGUUAAACAUUUAUGGGUUACAGAUGGGCAUGCGUUUCAUUAGGUAGUUGGUGAGGUAACGGCUCACCAAGCCGACGAUGAAUAGGGGUUCUGAGAGGAAGGUCCCCCACACUGGUACUGAGACACGGACCAGACUCCUACGGGAGGCAGCAGUGAGGAAUAUUGGUCAAUGGACGCAAGUCUGAACCAGCCAAGUCGCGUGAAGGAUGAAGGUAUUAUGUAUUGUAAACUUCUUUUGUCAGGGAAUAAUGGGUGUCACGUGUGACGCAGAGGAAUGUACCUGACGAAUAAGCAUCGGCUAACUCCGUGCCAGCAGCCGCGGUAAUACGGAGGAUGCGAGCGUUAUCCGGAUUUAUUGGGUUUAAAGGGUGCGUAGGCGGUUUGUUAAGUCAGUGGUGAAAGUUUGCGGCUCAACCGUAAAAUUGCCAUUGAAACUGGCGAACUUGAGUACAGUAGAGGUAGGCGGAAUUCGUGGUGUAGCGGUGAAAUGCUUAGAUAUCACGAAGAACUCCGAUUGCGAAGGCAGCUUGCUGGACUGUAACUGACGCUGAGGCACGAAAGCGUGGGGAUCAAACAGGAUUAGAUACCCUGGUAGUCCACGCCGUAAACGAUGAAUGCUAGCUGUUAGCGAUAUACUGUUAGCGGCACAGAGAAAUCGUUAAGCAUUCCACCUGGGGAGUACGCCGGCAACGGU
rnacentral:rRNA from 1 species